rnacentral:rRNA from 1 species
CCGAUAGUGAACCAGUACCGUGAGGGAAAGGCGAAAAGAACCCCGGCGAGGGGAGUGAAAAAGAACCUGAAACCGUGUACGUACAAGCAGUAGGAGCCCCACCACCAAAGCGUUUCGCUUUGCGUGGUGCGCAAAAUGCGUAACGACAGCGCGAUGGACGGUUAACGGAGCGUAAGCGACGUUCAACAUCAAAAAUCAAGCAGUGGAGCGUUUUGGGGUGGGGUGACUGCGUACCUUUUGUAUAAUGGGUCAGCGACUUAUAUUCUGUAGCAAGGUUAACCGUAUAGGGGAGCCGCAGGGAAACCGAGUCUUAACUGGG